rnacentral:tRNA from 1 species
GGUUAAAUGGCUGAAAAUAGGCGGUAGAUUGUAAAUUUAUUUAUAAGAGAAUUCUUUUUAACCA